UACGUAGGGUGCAAGCGUUAAUCGGAAUUACUGGGCGUAAAGCGUGCGCAGGCGGUGAUGUAAGACAGGUGUGAAAUCCCCGGGCUCAACCUGGGAACUGCAUCUGUGACUGCAUCGCUGGAGUGCGGCAGAGGGGGAUGGAAUUCCGCGUGUAGCAGUGAAAUGCGUAGAUAUGCGGAGGAACACCGAUGGCGAAGGCAAUCCCCUGGGCAUGUACUGACGCUCAUGCACGAAGGCGUGGGGAGCAAACAGG
rnacentral:rRNA from 1 species